rnacentral:rRNA from 1 species
AAGUCUGGUGCCAGCAGCCGCGGUAAUUCCAGCUCCAAUAGCGUAUAUUAAAGUUGUUGCAGUUAAAAAGCUCGUAGUUGAAUUUCGGGGUUAGUAGGCUGGUCAUGCCACCGGUAUGUACUGGUCUUACUGAUUCCUCCUUCCUGAUGAACUGUAAUGCCAUUAAUUUGGUGUUGCAGGGAAUCUGGACUGUUACUUUGAAAAAAUUAGAGUGUUUAAAGCAGGCUAACGCUUGAAUACAUUAGCAUGGAAUAAUGAAAUAGGACGUUCGAUCCUAUUUUGUUGGUUCCUAGGAUUGACGUAAUGAUUAAUAGGGAUAGUUGGGGGCAUUAGUAUUCAAUUGUCAGAGGUGAAAUUCUUGGAUUUAUUGAAGACUAACUACUGCGAAAGCAUUUGCCAAGGAUGUUUUCAUUAAUCAAGAACGAAAGUUAGGGGAUCGAAGACGAUCAGAUACCGUCGUAGUCUUAACCAUAAACUAUGCCGACUAGGGAUCGGAUGAUGUUAAUUUUUUAAUGACUCAUUCGGCGCCUUACGGGAAACCAAAGUGUUUGGGU